AUCGCUUCUCUGCCUUUUGGCUAAGAUCAAGUGUAGUAUCUGUUCUUAUCAGUUUAAUAUCUGAUAUGUCCUCUAUACGAGGACAAACAUAUUAAAGUGAUUUUGAGAGCUGGGAGCUGAAAAAGGGUCUUGCUCCGUUCGCUCCACGCAUCAUCCUGGCAUUGCAGUGCCGCCGGGUACGGUGCAACCUUC
ensembl:snRNA U2 U2 spliceosomal RNA